GACGAACGCUGGCGGCGUGCUUAACACAUGCAAGUCGAACGGAAAGGCCUCUUUCGGGGGGUACUCGAGUGGCGCACGGGUGAGUAAAACGCGAGUAGCAUGCCCCUGACUCUGGGAUAACAUUGGGAAACUGGGGCUAAUACACCAUAGAAGCUCCUGCUGCACGGUGGGGGGUGGAGAGUUUCGCCGGUUGGGGAUGGAGUCGCGGCGUAUCAGCUUGUUGGUGGGGGAGUGGCUUACCAAGGGUUUGUCGGGGAUCCGGCCUUAGAGGGUGACCCGCCACAUUGGGACUUGGAAACGGCCCAGACUCCUACGGGGAGCAACAGUGGGGAAUAUUGCACAAUGGGUGGAAGCCUGAUGCAGCAACGCCGUGUGCGGGAUGACGGCCUUCGGGUUGGAAACCGCUUUCGCUCAUGACGAAGCUUUGUGUGACGGUAGUGGGUAAAGAAGCACCGGCUAACUACGUG
rnacentral:rRNA from 1 species